rnacentral:lncRNA from 10 species
GUUUUUUUCUGAUCCUGAAGAGAUUAGCAGAAAGGUCUAGCUCAUUUUAAGUGUCUGAAUGGAAAACAUUUACCUUCUAUUGCCUCCAAGGGCAGCCACCUACAAGACUUCAACUACACAGAAGUUUUGACUCUAUAGAGCCAAUGGAUGUGGACCCUGGACUUAGAAAGAGAUUUGUAAACAAACCAGAGAACACCGAAGAGCUGCUCCUUCGCACUGAAAUGGUUUGCUGGCUUUCUGCCUAGAUCCGACAUCUCUUCAAAUGGACAGUCCCAACUCUCCUUCUCUCACUUCUCUUCCCCCUUCUCUGUAAGUCACAAAUGCUGCAUUUGGAGGAACUUCAUUUUAACUAGGAUAAACAUCACAUAAUAAAUGAUGCAUUUUUUCUCAUAAAGCAAACCAUUUAUCAAUGUUUUUAGUAAUUGUUUGUGUUGGAGCCCUUGGUGGAAGUCUUAUGAUCUAUAGUGUCCAUUGAGGCUUCCAUUUAAAGGGGGGCAGAGACAAUGCCAAAGUUGAUACAAGGGAUGAUGGGGAGAUAAGCUCUCGAGGCCUAUAUAUUAUCCGCCCGCAGUGUUGGGAGGGCCACAGGAAGGAUGGUGAUUAUUCUAUUUGGCAAGCCAAUUGUCUGUCUUUGGAAAAUGAUAGGAUGAAGAGUGGAGUCAAAAAUAAUACCUUUCUCGAUGCCCAGAUAUAAAUGAGCUAUUUACAAUCCCUCCUGCCUUUUAGGUUUGGGUUUUAUUUUUCCUCUGCA